rnacentral:misc_RNA from 1 species
GGUAUUAGAGCCUAGAAAUGCCUAAUUUUCUCUCUGUCGCUGUUAAAAAAAAUAAACGAAAAUGGCAUUGCCGUUCUUAGUUCACCUUCUGCUAGAGGGAGGUGGACUACACCACUAGUCCAGAUCAAUUCAUUGAUUGCCAACGACUUAGAACCUAGAAGGCCGGCAUCGGAAUCUUGUUCAUUGAUUACCAUGCAUCGUUACAUCCUUGCCAACACUGCCAAACGCGAUGGCGUGACUUGUUUUUCUGGCAUCCCCUUUGUCGAAUCUUGCACCAGAGGACUUGUUUGAG